rnacentral:lncRNA from 1 species
GUGCCCAGGCUAAAGGUCUAAUCGGAGCUGCAACUGCCGGCCUGCGCCACAGCCACAGCCACACAGGAUCCGAGCCGCGUCUGCGACCUACACCCCAGCUCACGGCAACGCCGGAUCCCUGACCCUAGUAUUUGGACUUUAACUUCAAAAAAGGAACAGGAGUUCCCUGGCAGCCUAGUAGUUGAGGAUCGGGUGUGCGCUGCUGUGGCGCAGGUUCCAACCCUGGCGGCAGGUGCAGCCCAAGAAGAAACGGCACAUGACUUGAUUGGGAUCGACCUCACCUACCGAGCGUGAGAGGCCAGGCGCCGAGGCCCGCCCUUCCUCCCCGCGCCUGGCACCUGCCCUGCGUCGGGAGCUGCAGAGGCAGGAUGGGCCACACACGAGUCCGUUCACGACCACGCUGUGGGGUUCCAUUCCCCGUGCAAGGGCCACCCGGGUCGUCUUUUGUGCACCUAGGGGAACCGGAGGCUCCCCUGUGAACGCCUUUCUGGGGGUUCUGGACAGUGUCCGCCUGUGGGAACGUGUCAACCAAACAGGACUAAGCAAAAGCAGAGAGCACACGGCAGAGGUGACUGUGGUGACACAGAAUUACGUUUGUGGGGGGAGGGGCGGGUUCCGAGGCUGCCCCGGCGACGGCCUUCCCCAGGAUGGGCCUCUUCCUCGCCGUCCACUGGGUUACAUGAAGUGAACGAGGGGCGGGGAGCGGGCUGCGCCUCUGCCGGCCCGCCCCCCGCCCUGCCGGACGCACAGGGGGCUCUGCUGCUCGACGGGAAACGGCUCCGGUGACCACUGGGUGGAAGCACAGGUAGGACAGGAGCGGGGAGCAGAAGGUGGGUGUGCUAGGUGAAGGACCGAAAGAAUGUGUAAGUACGUACACACACACACACACACCCCAGCCAGCCCGGAGGCCGGAAACCCAGGGGAGCCAAAGUUGCAGUUCAAAUGCAAAGGCAGGACAAAGGCCUGGGGAGCCUCUCUUAGCCCCAGGAGAGGAUGCCGGCCGUCAGCUGCUUAGGUGAGGCCCACCCCGUUGAGGAGGCCAGUGGGCUUUAUGCAGUCUAUGGCUUUAAAUGGUAACCGUCACAGGAGUUUAGAUGAGAACCCCUCCAUGGGUCAGAUGGUUCAGGAGCGAAAAGCAGGAGGACAAAAAGCCAGGAGAGCACCACUCAUUCAUUCAUUCACUCCUUCUUCUCUGGGGGUCGAAUAUUCGCAAUGGUUCUGCCCAUUGUCUGCCCUGAGGUACUUGUGUACCCGGCACACAGUAGGUGUUUAAUUAGUGCAUGCCUUCAGUUCAAAAUGACCUUGACAUUUCCUACCUGCUCCCCACACCCUGUUUUGUUUCCCUGCAGGUGACAGAGAAGCUUCCGGUGCCCUCCGUGGAGUCUGUGGCUGGGGACCAGCUGCCCCCCGUACCACUUCUGUCGUCAAAGUCAUCGGGAAAAAGCUUCCUCCCUGCUGUGCCUGCGGCCUCGAAGAUAAGACCCAGCCUCAGUUUUCACGCAGAUGAGACCACGCACCACGCGCCGGAGGUCAGCUUCACCUUCCCCAGCGCCACCUGGCAGAGCAGCACAGGCCCCAGCAGGGCGCCCCUCCGGCCCCGGGACAUCCGAGGGUCUACAGACAGCGGAGGCCGACGGCACAGCCCACUGCCCCCUGGCCACCCCCGCAAGCACCAGGGUGGCAGCGCCCAGUGGCCGAGGAGACCAAAGUAAAGAUGGCAGCAAGCAGAGUGCCACUGUCACGCUGAGGGAAGGUCCGAGAAGCUGAUCUCGGUACCAGGGUCUCUCUGCCUGGAAGCUGAGUUUGAGAGCCGGGGGAUCCAGCAGGGACGCUCCGGGGCAGCCCGCCCUUCGCCCAGCUUCCUGCAGCCCUUUGCACCAGGCCUGGUGUCUGCCUCACGCCACCUUCAGAAGAAGAAUGUCCACUGGGCAGUGGCAGAGCCCUUCCCAAGGACCUCAGGCCCAUUUGGGGUCAUUCCCAGGCCUGGGUGCUCUUUCCAGGACCACCCACCCCCCGCCGUGGCCUCUGCUCUGGGAGAAGCUGGGACACGUCGCCCUUCAGGUCCGGCUCAGGCUGAGGAAGCCACUGGGGACACCUGGGCGGCUGCCGGCAAGAGGCAGGGAGGAAUCAUUUGUCCCCAACGCCAUGUGUUAGUAGAGGUUCUCCAGAAAAAGGGAACCAAAGUUGUGUGUGUGUGUGUGUGUGUGUGUGUGUGUGUGUGUGUGUGCGCGUGCGCACGCACUGCCCAAGACAGGGAGGAAAGAGAUUUCCUUGAAGAGAUGGGCGUAUUGGCUGUGGGNNNNNNNNNNNNNNNNNNNNNNNNNNNNNNNNNNNNNNNNNNNNNNNNNNNNGGCUGCCACUGUGUCCCCCAGUCGGGAGCAGAGGGCCCCCCUCCUCAGGUGACCUCAGCCUUUCUUCUCUGUCCGCCUUCACCUGGCUGGCUGAGGCCCACCCACAUCACACAGGCUGAUCUGCUUUUACUCAAAGUCUCCUCACGUUUAAUCUCAAGACAAAGAGCACACGCUAUCACUCAGAGGCGGAAUCUAAAAUGUGGCCCAGAGGAACCUACGUACAGAACAGACACAGGCUCACAGACAUGGGGGGCACACUUGCGGUUGCCCAGGGGGAGGGGGAGGGAGCGGGAUGGACGCAGCGUUUGGGGCUCCUACCCGCAACCUGUUGCACUGAGAUGGAUGAGCAAUGAGGUCCUGCUGUAUCGCCCAGGGAAUUACAGCCACUUACUGGUGACAGAACACGAUGGAAGAGGACAUGGGAAAAAGAAGGUGUAUCUAUGUCACACUGGGUCACCGUGCUGUGCAGCAGCAGCUGACAGAACUUUGUAAAUCAACCAUACUCGAAUCAAAAAAAUCUUUGGAACUCCAUCUCAUCUAAAGACUACCUUCCCAGCAACAUCUGGACCGGCGUUUGAUCAAACCUCUGGGUCUCGUGGGCCUGGCCAGGUCGAUGCGUCCAGUUAACCCUCUCGCUCCAUGGCUGGCCUGCAGAGUGACACUCGUCACAGCAUACGUGGGCUCCCAGGGAAACGCAGGAACACGGUCCCAUUUCCAUGACCCAGCCACCCGCCACCACAGCGCUCUAAUGUCCCUCUCAGCACCCCUGAUGCAGGGAGGAAGGUGCUGCUAACUGUUGGGAACAAGACACAUGAAACCAGCCGUGUAAACUGGGGACCCAACACUAAGGCUCCAGUUGCAUUAGGAUUGUAUAUGCUUCCGUCAUUUUCCAUCAAGACAGGAAAAAACAAAACAGAAAAACUCUGAGCACCAUCCUGUGUCAGGGGGAUCGUCACCUCCUCUGGUUGUGCUUUUGGCCCUUGCCGUCAUUUUCAAACUGGCGCCUCAUCCCUUGCUUUCAGGGCCCCCUUGUUUGAAGGCCAUUGGGAGCCACACCCCCAGGUGGCAGAAGUCACGCUGGGCAGAGCAGGUCAGGGCUGGGAGGGGGAGGUGGCCUCGUGGUCUUGCGGCCCUGGUGGAGCCUGGGCAUCUUUGCCCCCGUGUGGGCCUGGCCUGUGGUAGGCACACUGCACACAGGCACUGUCGCCUGGCCGCCUCCCAUAAUGCCUGCUGUCACGGAAGACAUGCUAGGGGCUUCCUCGAAGCCGUGUUUUCCUUUCUGGAGGCGUGUGUGGCAGUGGGAGUGGGGCCCAUUUAUCCUCAGCGGCUCUGCUGCCCACUGUGCUGCCUACCUGCCAUACGCGCACCACCCUCAUUGAAGCGCCAAGGCCGCCUGGGGAGGGACACCUUCUGCUCUCUGGUGCUGGCCCCAGCUCCUGGGAAGGGCAGGAAUUCCCGAUUGCCCCCUUUUAUCUGCUCUUUUUUGUCCAUGAGAACAGAACCCCAAUUUUCAGCUGACCACAGCUCCCAAAAAUCUCCAUUCCCCAGCCUCCUUUGUGGCUGUGUAUGGCCAUGUGACUAAGUUCUGCUUGAUGGAAUAUAAGCCAGAGUGGCUGCUUCCUGGACUUUUUAUCAUAAAGGAUAAUGAGCAUGUCCCCCGUGCCUCUUCACUUCCUCAAUCCUACCACCUGGAAGUUGAAUGUGAUGGCUGGAACUCUAGCCACCAUUUUGGGGCCAUGAGGGCAAAGGCUACACCCUGCAGAGAAUGGAGUGGGAAGCUGAAAGGAGCCUGGGUCCUCUGGGAGCAGAGGUGUCUCUCAGCAUUGCUCCAUCCUACUUCCAGACUUUAGCCCGAGAGAGAAAUAAACAUCCCCCUGAAGCCACUGUGGUUGGUGCACCUCAUCUUAUGUGACACACGAGGGAAGCUCAGGCAGUUGGCAACUCAUGGCUGGAGAAGAUUCUGGUGCUUUAGUGGAGCAGCAGUGAGGGAUCAGAGAUGCAGGGCAGAGGACGAGGCAUGGGGGUUGAGUUCAGCCCCUGGGGUGGUGGGAGAAAAGCAGAAACUCCCAGUCUUUGUAUACCCUGUCUUGAGUUGGGUGAGACCGUUGGCCAGGAAAGACAGCUGGUGGAUUCUGAGGACGGGAGUCUUCACCAUGAGGCUGUAAAGUGACCUGUGCCUUAGAAGUUGCAAACUUUUCUUUUCCAAAUUACCAACAGGUGCAAACCUGAGCUUGUAAUGCACGCAUUUUGUAACUGUUAGUUCUUUUGACCGUGGCAUCAAACUGCCUUCAGCAGCUUCACCUGGUGCCGCCGCCUCCUCCUCCUCCGUCGGCCAGCGCCCUAGGAGUGCCUGGAUGGGCAGCCUCCUUGGCCCGGCCACUCUGCUCCGCGCUGAGGGCUUGGCUGCAGCUCUGAAGCCCCGCUCAUCAUGACUGGGAUUGCUCUCUGAGUUUGGGGUUUCCCACGGUACAAUGGGGCACACUGACAGCAAGCUCUGCAAGGUGGCAGAGCUGGAUUCCAUGCUUACCAUACACGCAGGGCAAAGGGAGGCUUAACGUUACACUGGAAAACCUCUCGCAUCACCUACACUGAAUGCCUACAUCAUUAAAUAAACCUACGUU